AGAGUUUGAUCCUGGCUCAGGAUGAACGCUGGCGGCGUGCUUAACACAUGCAAGUCGAACGGGGUACCCAUGACGGAGGCUUCGGCCAACUGAAUGGACUACCUAGUGGCGGACGGGUGAGUAACGCGUGAGGAACCUGCCUUGGAGUGGGGAAUAACAGCCAGAAAUGGCUGCUAAUACCGCAUAAUGCAGUUGGGUCGCAUGGCUCUGACUGCCAAAGAUUUAUCGCUCUAAGAUGGCCUCGCGUCUGAUUAGUUUGUUGGCGGGGUAACGGCCCACCAAGACGACGAUCAGUAGCCGGACUGAGAGGUUGGCCGGCCACAUUGGGACUGAGACACGGCCCAGACUCCUACGGGAGGCAGCAGUGGGGAAUAUUGGGCAAUGGGCGCAAGCCUGACCCAGCAACGCCGCGUGAAGGAAGAAGGCCCUCGGGUUGUAAACUUCUUUUGUCAGGGACGAAGAAAGUGACGGUACCUGACGAAUAAGCCACGGCUAACUACGUG
rnacentral:rRNA from 1 species